GACGAAGGGGGCGAGCGUUAUCCGGAAUGACUGGGCGUAAAGGGUCCGUAGGCAGCAUUUUUUGUUAGAGGUAAAAGAAAAAAGCUCAACUUUUUUUGGCUUCUAAAACGUAAAUGCUUUGAGUUUGAAAGGGGAUAGCAGAAUUUCACAUGGAGGGGUGAUAUCCGUAGAUAUGUGAAGGAAUACCAGAGGCGAAGGCGGCUAUCUAGUUCAAUACUGACGUUGAGGGACGAAAGCAUGGGGAGCAAACAGG
rnacentral:rRNA from 1 species